rnacentral:rRNA from 1 species
UACGUAGGGUCCGAGCGUUGUCCGGAAUUAUUGGGCGUAAAGGGCUCGUAGGCGGUUUGUCGCGUCGGAAGUGAAAACUUACAGCUUAACUGUGGGCGUGCUUUCGAUACGGGCAGACUUGAGGUAUGCAGGGGAGAACGGAAUUCCUGGUGUAGCGGUGAAAUGCGCAGAUAUCAGGAAGAACACCCGUGGCUAAGGCGGCUCUCUAGUACGUGACUGACGCUGAGACGCGAAAGCGUGGGUAGCAAACAGG